rnacentral:rRNA from 1 species
UACGAAGGGGGCUAGCGUUGCUCGGAUUGACUGGGCGUAAAGGGCGCGUAGGCGGAUAGUACAGUCAGGCGUGAAAUUCCUGGGCUCAACCUGGGGGCUGCGUUUGAUACGUAUUGUCUGGAGUUCGGAAGAGGGUCGUGGAAUUCCCAGUGUAGAGGUGAAAUUCGUAGAUAUUGGGGAAAGAACACCGGUGGCGAAGGCGGCGACCUGGUCCGAUACUGACGCUGAGGCGCGAAAGCGUGGGGAGCAAACAGG